rnacentral:rRNA from 1 species
GAUUUCUGGCUUGAAACAUUAAGCCGGCCACGGUUUCGUGUGUUAGUGCUUGAUGUUCUGGCCAUCCUUCCAAUUGCUAUUCACCCUUCUUCAUUGAUUGGUGAGUGGUAUUGGAUCUUUUACUUUGAAAAAAUUAGAGUGUUUCAAGCAGGCGUUUUGCUAUGAAUACAUUAGCAUGGAAUAAUGAGUUAGGACUUCGGUUCUAUUUUGUUGGUUUCUAGGACUGAAGUAAUGAUUGAUAGGGAUAGUUGGGGGUGCUAGUAUUCAGCGGCCAGAGGUGAAAUUCUUGGAUUCGCUGAAGACUAACUUAUGCGAAAGCAUU